GACGAACGCUGGCGGCGUGCUUAACACAUGCAAGUCGAACGGAAAGGCCCUGCUUGCAGGGUACUCGAGUGGCGAACGGGUGAGUAACACGUGGGUGAUCUGCCCUGCACUUCGGGAUAAGCCUGGGAAACUGGGUCUAAUACCGGAUAGGAGCCAUUUUUAGUGUGAUGGUUGGAAAGUUUUUUCGGUGUAGGAUGAGCUGGCGGCCUAUCAGCUUGUUGGUGGGGUAAUGGCCUACCAAGGCGGCGACGGGUAGCCGGCCUGAGAGGGUGGACGGCCACAUUGGGACUGAGAUACGGCCCAGACUCCGACGGGAGGCAGCAGGGGGGAAUAUUGAACAAGGGGCGCAAGCCUGAUGCAGAGACGCCGCGUGGGGGAUGACGGCCUUCGGGUUGUAAACUCCUUUCGCUAGGGACGAAGCUUUUUGUGACGGUACCUAGAUAAGAAGCACCGGCUAACUACGUG
rnacentral:rRNA from 1 species